rnacentral:rRNA from 1 species
CUACGGGGGGCAGCAGUGGGGAAUAUUGCACAAUGGGCGAAAGCCUGAUGCAGCAACGCCGCGUGAGGGACGACGGAAGGUGGGUUGUAAACCUCUUUUAGCAGGGAAGAAGCGAAAGUGACGGUACCUGCAGAAAAAGCACCGGCUAACUAAGUGCCAGCAGCCGCGGUAAUACGUAGGGUGCAAGCGUUGUCCGGAAUUAUUGGGCGUAAAGAGCUCGUAGGCGGGUUGUCGCGUCUGCUGUGAAAAUCCGAGGCUCAACCUCGGACCUGCAGUGGGUACGGGCAAACUAGAGUGCGGAGGGGAGAUUGGAAUUCCUGGUUUAGCGGUGGAAUGCGCAGAUAUCAGGAGGAACACCAAUGGCGAAGGCAGAUCUCUGGGCCGUAACUGACGCUGAGGAGCGAAAGCGUGGGGAGCGAACAGGAUUAGAUACCCCCGUAGUC